UAUAGUCAUACAGUCGUCGAUACAACCAAACUCUGAUCCCCUCUCUCUUUUCUUUUUGCCUUGGAUUCAAGAAUUCAUCUCCUAAAUCCUCUCUUGGCCGAAUUUCUUCCAAAUCUUUCAGAUUUACUUUGUCACUUUUACUCUCUCUAUAUCUAUGCAAUUACCUCUUCAUUAGACCACAAUAAUCAUCAAGCCCUAGAGUUCCCAAUGCCGAUAACGUGGUCGCCCUUCACCAUUUUCUGUUGGUCUUUUCGGCACUUCUCUGAAGCUUCGCAGGUUACAAAUCCAAUGAACUCAAAUACCCACUUCUUCAAGGACAGUUGCUAGACUUCCCAAAAUCCCCAAAUUCUAAAUCAUAUUUGUGCUCGAAUCAGAGAAUCCAAAAAUCACCAUAUGCCUGGGAAUUUUUCAUACUGAGAUUGAUACUUGAAGCUUUUUUUUGCCCGCAAAUUCUUGGUUUUUCUUAAGGCUGGAUCUCGAUCGCUGUAAUAGUAAUCUGGAUAUUUAUGGAUAAUGGUGAUAAAAGUUGGAUGAAUCUCCUGAGAUGGACGGAUGAAUAUAUCCGUGGAGUGAAUGAUUUUCUUGAUAAGGCAUUUAAAUGAGCCGCCCAAGGAAAUAAAAUAUUAUGCCCUUGCAAAAAGUGCAUGAAUCGCUAUUGGUAUUAUAGAAAUGUGGUGGAGGAUCAUUUGGUUGUUCAUGGAUUUGUUGAUGGUUAUACCAAAUUAGUUUUUCACGGGAAAGGAUUUUCCUCGAGAAAUACACCUCAUCCAAGCAAUGGUGAUGAAUGUUCUACCAUGUGUGACGAUAUUGAUGGACUACUUCAUGAUACAUUUAGAAAUAUUGAGGGUCAGGCAGGGGAUGAGGAAGGAGUUGGGGAAAGAUUAUCUAAAGAUGCAAAGAAGUUUUUCAAAUUGUUGGAGGAAGGAAAACAAGAGUUAUAUCCGGGGUGUGAAAAUUUCAGUAAACUGAGUUUCACUAUUCGAUUGU